CGGACCACUCACAGUGGCCAGGGGAAUGCAACGCUGUGAUUGGCCAGGCCUGAGUGCCCUGCCCACCCCCAGAGUCUGGGAGGGAAUGAAUUCCCACAGCGCUUAGCCUGAGUGUGGAGAGGGCUGGUCCUAUAAGAGGUUUGAAAUUCCUCCCUUCGUCUAUUAACACUUCUGAAAAAUGCCUGUAACUCGAGAACCACUAGGAUGCUGGAUGCCAGGCAUUCAGAAUGGAAGAUGAAUUCAUUCCAAAAGUGAUUCCAAUCUGCUGUGCAGGAAGUGUGAGUGCUGAUAAUUAAGGAACACUAUGUUAGGCGAUGAUAACACACCACCUCUGGAUCCCAGCU